rnacentral:rRNA from 1 species
GACGAACGCUGGCGGCGUGCUUAACACAUGCAAGUCGAACGCUGAAGCUCAGCUUUUGUUGGGUGGAUGAGUGGCGAACGGGUGAGUAACACGUGAGUAACCUGCCCCCUUCUUUGGGAUAACGCCCGGAAACGGGUGCUAAUACUGGAUAUUCACUGGUCUUCGCAUGGGGGUUGGUGGAAAGGGUUUUUCUGGUGGCGGAUGGGCUCGCGGCCUAUCAGCUUGUUGGUGGGGUGAUGGCCUACCAAGGCUUUGACGGGUAGCCGGCCUGAGAGGGUGACCGGUCACAUUGGGACUGAGAUACGGCCCAGACUCCUACGGGAGGCAGCAGUGGGGAAUAUUGCACAAUGGGCGCAAGCCUGAUGCAGCGACGCCGCGUGAGGGAUGGAGGCCUUCGGGUUGUGAACCUCUUUCGCUCAUGGUCAAGCCGCAACAAUGGUUGUGGUGAGGGUAGUGGGUAAAGAAGCGCCGGCUAACUACGUG